rnacentral:lncRNA from 1 species
UAAUACUUGAUGUUUUAUAGUAUGUUUUAUUUUUCUGUUUAUAAUGAUUAAGUUAGUAGCUGAUAAUAUGAACAUAGAUUUUUUUGGUGUUUAAAUUUGAUUUGUAUUUACAGCGUCUUUAUAAGAGUAGGUUAGAUUCCGGAGUUUGUUUGUGUGUAUAACGGAUAAUUUUAUUUAAAAUUGUAGCUAGUAAGUGUUGGACAUUUUUUUU